GGUCAUAGCUCAGUAGGAGAGCAUCUGCUUUGCAUGCAGAAGGUCCCAGAUUCAAUCUCUGGCAUCUCCA